GAGUCCAGGUGAGUCCUAUCACAGAAUCACAGAAUGGCCGGGGUUGGAAGGGACCUCAAGGAUCAUGAAUCUCCAACCCCCCUGCCACAUGCAGGGCCACCAGCCUCCAUGUUUAGUGCCUCUCUGUGUAUCUUGCUGGCUUCAAGACCAUGCUGGUAAACCCUGAUGCCAAAGGUUGUAUUGACCCAGAAAGCAGCUGGAAUAUAUUCAACCUCCUCUGCACUCAGCUCACUGAUGCUUUUGAAUUAAUAGGGCGGCUGCUACAAAGCUGAGUUGUUAGCCCAGGAUCUUUCAUUCUAAGUUGAAUGUCCAUUCUUAACGCAUUGAUGUCCAUCUCUUGUGCAGUUAUGCGUUUUAUGAUCUUUUCCUUGCCCUUUCCUGCAGUGUUAGAGCCCUUGUACAAGUCCUUGGGUCAACUUCCACAUACAAGAGCACGCAGGGGAGGUCAGGUGGUGAGAGGAAGCCUUGCUUUUUCAGAUCUCUCUCGUUCUUAGUUCUUUUUUUUUAUUUUCUUUAUUAUUCUGAAAUGUUCCCUGUGACAGAAGAGAAUCCAUGAGCUCAUGACCCUCCUAUAUUCAUCUCACAUUUCUGAGAGUGCUUUCUCCCCUCCAGGAGAAGCUGUGAAGAAUGUGUUUAUGAGCAGGGAUGGUUGUGAAUGGCAACAGAAUGUCUGAGGUCAUCCUUUCUCCUCUCCUAAACAAGAGCCUAAAAAUAGAGCCAAAGCUGCUUGCUGAACAGCUCGGAAUACAGCACCCUUUGGCCGUGUAAAAGAUGACUGGAGCUCUGCCUUUGUUCAAAAUCCUUUCAGAUUUAUAGGCUGUAUGGAAAUACCGGGAAGGAAAGGCAUGCUUUCAGGGAUUGCUGAUUCUUCACCUUACUCUGGAAAAAUAAACCCAUGGGAAAAAGGAGGCUGUAAGUCUAUUUACUCGGAUGAGACAUUUGGUCUGAUAGGGAGUGUCAGUUACAGAGCCAGACUUGCCCUACGUGCUGUUUCAUCUCCAGAUCUGGCUGAAGAUCAGAUCCAUUAGCCAGCCUGCAACCCUGGCUGAGCCUCCUGAAGAAGAUCUUUUAAAAAGAGGGCUCUGGAGAAGCUUGUGACGGUGUUUUCUUAAUGCUUAAUGUGCGCUUAGGAGAUUUCUCAGAUUGGGUCUGUAUUUUGGAAACCCCGCAUCUGCCACUGUUUGCGUGCACUGGGUCACCAGCAUCUUUUUUUGGGUGCCCUUUAUGGAAGUAUUGCAUGGCUGAGGGCAGAAGAACAUCAAGAUGAGUGCCUGGAGCAGGAAGUGAAUGGUCUAGUGAGCUCCAGGAAAUCAAUGGCUGCAGAAGUUGCAUUAAGGUUCAGGGCAUGGUGUCACCACCCAUGGACCCAACCCCUCUGUGCUUCAUGCUUAAGAAUUACCUUAGUGUGAAACACUAUUUCUACCCAUACUCAGACUGAGAGGUGUGUCAAAUGGGAAAAGUAGAAAUAAUGGCUAUUGAGAUCUUGGCACCCAACCCAAACAGUGCAUAAUAUUAAUGGGAGUCUUUGCUCCCAUUAAUUAAUGGGAGUUUUGGCUCCAGUGGCUUUGAGAUUGGCCCGAUGCAGAGGAUGUUCAAGGAGCACUGGUUCUCUUCUUUCAUUUACAUGGUCUCACUCACGGCCUCUGCAUUAGGUACUGCAGGUUUGUCCUAAGCUGGGUUUCCCUGGGGCAAGGGAUGUUGGUGCUGAUUUGCUUAAGAACUUGUGAUGAAAUGGAUCUUUGGCCUUUGCUGUUAGUUUCCAUUCUCCUGUGUGACCACAUCACGCAACAAUAAUGAUACGAAAAGGAAUAGAAAAUGUCAGGGCAGAUCACUGAUCUGGGAAUGUUAGUAUGAAGUGAAAAAGUUCCAGGGAGCUUUUCAGUUCGUUGACACAGCAGUGAUAAAUCAUCCUUCAAGUGCUUUUCCAGAGCAGAUGUGGCUGUAAAAUGCAGAAGGCAUUGUGGAGCAGGACUCCUGAGCCACUGCACCCAGGACAGUGCUGCGGUCAGCAGACAUCUGGCUGGGCUGUCAGCAAAAAGGCGGUAUGUUUUUCCUGUUGUGUUGGUUCACUUUAUUUACCUGAUAGAGAUGAAACUCCUCUGAAUCUCAUCUUCCCCUUGGCUGUUGUGCUUUGCAGCUGGGUGCUGCCCAUCCUGUACACGACAGCAGGGAUGCUGAAUAGACCAAAGGCUGCAGCGGUGGGGUCAGUGGUGUGCUUCUAGAAGGGAGAGAAUGAGGCAGGGCAUGGAACAUGGCCUUCAGUCUCAGGAGAAUUUAAGGAAGAUAGAUCUUCCAUUAGAAUCGUAGAAACAUAGAAUGGUUUGGGUUGGAAAAGAACUUUAGGAUCAUUUAUUUCCAACCGCCUACUAUAGGCAGGGAGACCUCCCUCUAGACCGGGUAGCUCAAAAGAGAGAAUUAGGAGAAAUGAACUUAGCUUAAUUUGAGUUAGGUUGUGGGUUGCAACCAAGAAAGGAAGCAGCCCACCUGUCUCCCUCUAGCCAGGAUAAGACUGUUUUCACCAGUGGUACCCAUUCUCACUAGGCUUUAGUGGAUCUCUUGCCAGAUCUUGAUCUCAUUACAGUUCCACAACUGUUGUCUGAAUUCCCAAAUAGUUUCUGAUACCCUUGGCUCCAGCUCAACCAUAGGAGUAAACUUGUACAUCAGUUUUUGACCUCCACGUAGCUUCUGUACAAAGAAGGUGGCUUUGUGCUUCAGCAUACAUUUAUAUCAUGGCUGCUAUGAAGCUGCAAAUGCUGAGGCCAGUGAAAGAAAUUCUAUUAGGUGAAAAUCUGCUAGGCUGCCUAAAUCCUACAAAGUGGGAAAGAAGCUCUUCCUACAGGAGGUGUAGCUGCAGCGGAUGUGGGGAUAUUUGGGGCUACCUCUCUGCUUCAAAAAUAAGAAAUCAGAAAUGCAAAAAAAGAAAAACCAGUAAAUCCUUAGCUCUGGAAAUGGAGCAGAGAGGAUGUGGCUCUUUUAGCAACUUGUUAUGAAAAAAGCAAAUGAUGCUCUUUACGUCAAUAACCAUGCAAAUAACGUGGAUAGAAUUCGUAUGUAAAGCAUAUUAUCAAAAAAAUGCAGUUAAAGAAUCGGGUGGGUUGCAUGGUGCUGGACACAGAGAUGGUGUGGAGUGAGCAAUGUGAGUCAAUGAGAAGCUGCAAAUGCAGUUCCCAAAACUGCCUGUGUUUCCUUCCAGGGUUCCUAUAAGGGAGCCGCAGGAAGAGAGGCCUUGUGGCUGGUCCUCUGGCAUCAACUAUUUCCUUUUCUAGAGUUUAACAAACGUUAUGUAGAAACAGGGUUUCUUAUGAGCAGUUGCCAUUUAUUUUACUUUUGGCGGAGUGGCAUUGAAAAGGGGAGACUCCUUUGGCAUCUUGGUCUUUCCCAUCUGCUUUUGAGAGCACUUGAAGUACAUAACAAGGUGGGAGGGGGGGGAUCUUCAGUAACCUUAAAAUGUAUGUAGAAAAGAUAUUUAUUGAUUCAGCUUCUACUAAAAGCAAUUUUAAGUUUACAGCAUGAAACUUUCAAAUAUGGACUUGUUCAAAGCUGACAGCUUUGAGAACGUGUAGUGUAGAAUAAAAACUCACUUGCCUUAGGAAGAACUUGAGACAAGAUCACUAAUGGCUUUCUCUGAUUUGUGUCAGAGAGAAACACAGUUUGGAUUAAAUAUGCAUUUUCCAAGGUACUGCACAUGAUGAAACCCUGCACUGAAUUUGCUGUGAAUUCAUGGGAAUGUGAAGCAGCAGUAUGUGCUGUACGCUGUGGGCUGGAACAAAUGCUUGAGAAACUGAGCGUGUUUUACAGCAUGGGAGAACCAGCUGCAAAGUGAGUGGUGUUUUUAUGAGAACAGCUUAGCAGACCAGGUACCAGUGCAGUCAUUCAGAGAUCUACUAGGCAGAUAAUUAUAAAAACACUCUCUUUUCCCAACCAAUAUGACUGUAGCACAUGGAUUUUGGUUAAAAGUUGUGAUGUAGCAGCUGAAGGUGGUGAGUAGAAGGUUUGCAGUUAAACCCUUGAGUUUUGAUUCACUUUGAGUGGGUGGUUGGACCCCUUCCCAGGUCAACGAGAUGUAUAAAGGACAACAUAUCUCAGGAAUAAAUUAUGAACAUCAGGGAGCUGUUGUGUGAGAUUGUAGCAGGACGUACCUCACUGACAAAUAUCCCAGUAGUGCAAAGUCAGAUCCACAGAGACUUGAUUCUUUUAUUUUACAGCUGUUCAAACUUAUGGGUUUACAUAUAUUUUAAAUGUCAGGGAGGAGCUUGAAUGAUCCGGAUCUAAUUGUGUUCACAAACAGUUGUAAAUAAUGAUUUAGUAUCUGUGUGCAAGAUGUUGUGGUGAGAUUACACAUCAGCCCAAAACAAUAAUCAGUUCCUUAAUAGCUUCUAAUAAUCAGACAUUUGAAUAAAACGGGUUUUAGAAAAGUACACAAUAAAAGCAGAAAAUCUUUAGCAGAAAAUCAUCUUUAUUAAUCCCAAGAUGUCUUGCUAAAAAGCUAUGAAUUGAAAUUCUCACUAAAUUGUUCUAAGCAAAAUAUCACAGAGCACAGCACUGCUGGUAUUUCAUAGAAUAUAGGUGUAAACCUUCCCCCCUUCUCAUAGCAAGGACAACAAAUACUUUCAUCUUCUUUCUACAGUUAACUAUUAAAGGACACACUGGGAAAUCAAAUAACUGCUAAAAGCUCAUUUUGCUAUGCAUCAUGUUACUGCCCCUUCAAAACCUGACAAAAGCAUUUCACUAUUUACUGUUUAUUUGGGACUGGCUCCAAACACCCAGUGGCUGAAUGGAGCACAUCUAGUAGUGGAGGGUAUUGAUUAUGUCUGACUCUCUGCAUCCUGUUAACUGCAGUGGGAAGGACAGUAAAGAAUCAACUCAGUGGAUGUAUUGUCGGAUAUGGACACAGAUAGGUAAGGGAAUACAUAUUUUAAACGUUUCCCUUUCAUUUUGGCAUCUGAACAUGGCAGGAAAUGCAGUGGUGCAGAGCUGUAGCUCACCUGCUACGUACUGCUCCAAUGGCAGUGAUUUUUGCACGGUGUGAUCUCUAGUUGGAAUGAUACUGAAAGGGAAAUACCCAUCCCUGGAGGGGUUUAAGGCCCAGAUAGAUGGACGCUGGGCAGUCUGAUCAUCUAGCGCUUCAUCUACUGACCGGCAGCCCUGCUUGUGGCAGAGGCAUCAAAACUUAAUGAUCCCUUCCAACCCAAGCCAUUCUAUGAUCCUGCAGACCACCUCUGCCAAAGGUUGGGUUUGGUGUAACAAAACUGGACCUGAGUACAGCUGCAGCUUGUCUGUUAGGUGCUGAGUCAGCAGCUGCCUCCCAAGUGUUCUAAUUCCAAGCUGUGCAGUGGAAGUAGCAUUCCUCUUCCUGACUUCACUAUAUCAGCCCUGAAGAUUUUGAUUUUAUGUACGCACAGCAUCUGAUGUGAUGCUGGCCCUGCUUCUGACCUCUACACAGAGAUUUUUCUGUUCCUAGUGCAGUUGAAAAAUAAUUCAAUGCAUUCUCUGAGAGCUCUGUAAUAAAAGUUCCUUGUGGCUGUGACUGUCACAUGCACGACAAAUAUACAGAUUACAGCACUUGUUGAAUGACUUGUAUUGAAGCGUGGUUCCGUUUAGAAGGGUCACUGUAGACAAAUAACUCCGAAGCAGAGGUUGUUUAUUUUAGUAAUGAAUUCAGUUAUGAUUUGUACAAUGAAGGACACUUUUUUUUGAAAAUAGUGGUUGGUAGUUCAUGACAAACCUUUAAUAAGCAAUGCUUCUGAACUCUUUUUUGACAUCCCUUUGAGCUUUCUAGGGAGGCAGGUGUAUUAGUGGAGGGGACUUAAGGCAGCCACAAGCUGACAACCUUUAUUUGCUUUUUAAACUGUGUGAAAAAAUGGCUUUAAACUCAGUGAGGUAGUGAUUCACUCUUAAAUUACCUGACCAGAUACAGACCCUAUGUUGUGCUGAGUGACAGCUUUCUUAGCAGCUAAUGGAAAUCAGUAACAGAUUCAGAUAUUCACCUCGUUAGUUUCUCAAUUAAAGUACACUGGGUUUUUUUCUUUUUUUUUGAUGCUAGGCAAUCUAGUUUUGCUUGCUCUAGUCAGCAGGAAACUCAGUCCCUAUUGAGGACCCUCUUUCGGAGGAGCCGGAGCCUCGACAUGACCACAUCCCAGUCUGCGUAGGCGCCCUCGAGGUGACGUGUCACUUCAGAGCCUGAGUGGUAGCUCCUGCGGCCGUGCAGCACUCGCCAGUUAUCAAACGUUAUUAUGUCUCCUGCAAAGAGAUUGCACAGCCUCUGACAUCUGGAUCACGUCAGAACAGAAACAGCAAGAAGUACCACUUUCAUCAUGGCACAAGCUGUCAAGACCUGUGGUGGGCUGCCAAGCAGAGAAGUGCCUGACAUCAGGAAUGCUUUUAAAAGCAGAACAUGUUAACUAGCACUAGCCAUUUAGUCAAUGGAAGAGACACUGGCUGUUGCCCACAUAGUUUACCUGGUUAUUUUCUGAAUGAGGUUUGUCUCCACAAAAGCACAUCCAGCCAGAUGAAAUCCUGCAGGAUGGUGUCAUUCAUCUUUUUCUUAUUUGGAGUGCACUGAUGCUAUUUCAGAUGAGUGCCAAUAACAGCCCAAGACUAUUUACAAAUCCAAGGGAUGCCAGGAGCUUUGCUAAUAUCACAUCUUGGAUUGAUUGUGACAAAAACUGCUGACCAAUUCUGGGACUAGGAGAGGAUCCAGCCACACUUAGGCUCCUUACCCCUGUGGUCCAAGGAGUUUAGGAAGCAAAGGGAUCCAUUCUGAACCUUGUGACUCAACAGGAGGGCCCUGUAUGUGUUUAACCUACCCUCUGUGCAGAACAUCACGCGUAUCCAGCCAUCUUGUUGAUGUUGUGAUUUAACAGCAUCUUAUGUCAGUAAACAUAUUCCUUUCUUCUUCUAUGAACAAAGAGUAUAGUGCAUUUGUUUCCAUCUGCCACGCCUCAACAGGAAAUGCUCAGGAUUGCUUCUCCAGGACACAUAUAAAAGAAUGUUGGACACCUUCCCAAGAUGAUGAUGAUUAGAAGUAGCAUUUACUUUUUCCCUUGUGCAAUCACCCUGUCCUUUAAGAGACACAGAUACUCGCUGUUGGGACUCAAUGGUCACCCAGCAGGACCAGGUUGCUAUAGCUGUUCCCUAGUGCUCCUAAAAAGCAGAAGCAAAUUAACCAAGCAUAACCAUGGAGUAUGGCUAAGCACUUUGUAGAUCUGUAACAAUUGCAGUAGCAAAAGGCACUUGAUAAACCAGCAAGGCAUAAACACACAGAGGCUGGGCAAGCAGGAAGGCACAGAUGGCUGCAUGCUUGAUGUACAGGAAGCAGGAACAAAAAGUAAACUCAACAAGAGUGCAACAAGAGCAAAUGAAGGGUCCUCCUUUCCUUUCAAGAGAAGAAGAAAACACCAACACAAAAUGAAGGAAAACAAAGGAAGAAUGGUGCACCACUGGUUUCCCACCUCAAGCAACACACAAAGUCCUGUACCUUGGAAGCUGUGCAAGCCACAGAGAAUCAACGCUCCUCUAUUUUAUACUCACAGAUACUCUAGGAUGAGUUUGUUGUGGACCACUUGUGUGUUGAUGUGAUGUAUACAGUUAAUAAAUGUCAAUCCUGUGAAGUGUUACUUUAAAACUUAAAGCUGUGCUGAUGUCUUUGGAACAAUUGCUGAAUCUGGGAUUGCUCCAUGGAACAAGCAGUGUGCAUACACACAGUUGUACCAUGUACACUUGGGACUUCUCUUUCCAAACCAGUUCAGCAUCUCCCCAGCCUGCUUAUUAAGUUGAGAGGUGCUGAGGGUACAGGGUGGAUACCAGUAGGGUGAGGGGCAGCAUGGUGAUAUAGGGGGGACUGCAGAGGGUGGCUUUGAAAUAGGGCCACUGAGAUCCUGCCAGACAGAAAGGGAAAAGACAGGAAAUUAAUCGUGGUGCCCAA